CGGUAAUUCCAGCUCCAAUAGCGUAUACUAAAGUUGUUGCAGUUAAAAAGCUCGUAGUUGGAUUUCUGCGGGGACGGAGCGGCCGGUCGCAACUUGCGACUCGAGCUAGCGCUUUCCCCGCAUCCUGCCGCGAACCGUGCUACCAUUAGUUUGGUGGCGCUGGGGAUCGGCUCGAUUACUUUGAGAAAAAUAGAGUGUUCAAAGCAGGCCACACGCCUUGAAUAAGUUAGCAUGGAAUAAUGACUAAGGACUUUGGUUCUUUUCGUUGGUGUUCGGGACUGAAGUAAUGAUUGAUAGGGACAGUUGGGGCGGUCCGUAUUCCAAAGCGAGAGGUGAAAUUCUUAGACCUUCGGAAGACGAACAGCUGCGAAAGCGUUCCGCAAGGAUGUUCCCUUUGAUCAAGAACGAAAGUUGGGGGAUCGAAGACGAUCAGAUACCGUCGUAGUCUCAACUAUAAACUAUACCAGCUAGGGAUCGGCCAACGUUUAAUUAUUCGACUUGGUCGGCACCUUAUGAGAAAUCAAAGCAUCUGGGUUCCGGGGGGAGUAUGGUCGCAAGGCUGAAACUUAAAGGAAUUGACGGAAGGGCACCACCAGCCGUGGAGCCUGUGGCUUAAUUUGACUCAACACGGGCAAACUUACCAGGUCUGGACAUAGUAAGGAUUGACAGAUUGAUAGCUCUUUCUUGAUUCUGUGGGUGGUGGUGCAUGGCCGUUUUUAGUCGGUGGAUGUGAUCUGUCUGCUUAAUUGCGUUAACGGACGAGACCCCAGCCUGCUAAAUAGCGCGGCCGAGCUUUGCUCGGUGCGAGCUUCUUAGAGGGACCAUGAUGCGCGAUAGCACAAGGAAGUUUGGGGCAACAACAGGUCUGUGAUGCCCUUAGAUGUUCUGGGCCGCACACGGGCUACACUGGCGCCUGCAACGAGCAUAUCAGCUGGCCCGAGAGGGUCUUGGCUAAUCUUUGGAACCGGCGCCGUGCUUGGGAUUGACCAUUGCAAUUGUUGGUCAUGCAACGAGGAAUGCCUUGUAAACGCGAGUCAUCAGCUCGCAUUGAAUACGUCCCUGCCCUUUGUACACACCGCCCGUCGCUCCUACCGAUGAAUGUUCCGAUGAAAUUUUCGGAGAGCACCAGAGAACGGGGCUCUGCCUUGCAGAUCUGGAGGCUCAAAGUCACUUAAAUCUGAACAUUUCGAGGAAGGAGAAGUCGUAACAAGGUAGCCG
rnacentral:rRNA from 1 species